rnacentral:rRNA from 1 species
GUGAGGAAUAUUGGUCAAUGGACGAGAGUCUGAACCAGCCAAGUAGCGUGAAGGAUGACUGCCCUAUGGGUUGUAAACUUCUUUUAUACGGGAAUAAAGUUUGCCACGUGUGGCAUUUUGUAUGUACCGUAUGAAUAAGGAUCGGCUAACUCCGUGCCAGCAGCCGCGGUAAUACGGAGGAUCCGAGCGUUAUCCGGAUUUAUUGGGUUUAAAGGGAGCGUAGGCGGAAGCUUAAGUCAGUUGUGAAAGUUUGCGGCUUAACCGUAAAAUUGCAGUUGAUACUGGGUUUCUUGAGUGCAGCAGAGGUAGGCGGAAUUCGUGGUGUAGCGGUGAAAUGCUUAGAUAUCACGAAGAACUCCGAUAGCGAAGGCAGCCUGCUGGAGUAUGAUUGACGCUGAGGCUCGAAAGUGCGGGAAUCAAACAGG